GCCCGUGGGCGGAGGCCCAGGACGGCCCGGAAAGGCGGCUCUGCAAGACCCUCGAGCCGGCCUGGCGCCACCCCGGGCGGUAGGGAGCGCCCGUACGUGAGCCGAGGCACUGCUGCACCUGUCCUGGUCGCCGCUAACCCAUCGGCGUGCCCAAGGUUUCAUGAACUUGGCCUUUCAUGAACUUUAAGGUGGAUGUGAAGGUGCUGGCCUUUAUCUAAAGCUACUCAGGAGGCCAAGGCAAGAGAAUCAAUUGAGCUCAGCAGUUCCAGUUUUUUACUGCAGGGUCUAGGAUCACUGGAAGCUGCGUUUUCAGUGGAGUGGCUGGUGGCUUGGCGAGGUGUGGUGCAGGAGCUGUCCACCCUGGUCAUGACAGUGUGAGUAAGAAGGUUAAUUUUACCCUCUGCUAAAUCAAUUGAAAACAAAAUUAAAAGCCUACUUGCAAGGGAUGGAACCAAUUCAGAUAUUAAUGUGGUUUCAAAAUAAUACUAAUAAAACUAUUGUUUAUUAAACAUUAAAUGCAUAGUAAAUGGAAAAAUUGGAUGAAACUACCUUUAUAGUCUUUUGCCGUGUUCACCCCCUGCCCAGCCAAUUAUUUUGGCAUAUGUCAGACUUGAAAAAUAUUUUUCAGUGUCUUUUUGAAAAAACUGAAGGAGCUAACUUUUUCUUGAAGAACAUUAUGCUAGGUACUUAAAUUAUAUCUCUUCUAAUACUAGGACUAGCCUUGAGAUGUAGGCAUUAUGAGACCCAUUUUAGUAACUAAGACAUUGAGAUUCCAAAAGAUUGUGACUUACCUAAGGCAAUGAAAUGCUAGAAAAC